GAAAUGCGAUAAGUAAUGUGAAUUGCAGAAUUCAGUGAAUCAUCGAAUCUUUGAACGCACCUUGCGCUCCAUGGUAUUCCGUGGAGCAUGCCUGUUUGAGUGUCAUGAAUACUUCAACCCUCCUCUUUCUUAAUGAUUGAAGAGGUGUUUGGUUUCUGAGCGCUGCUGGCCUUUACGGUCUAGCUCGUUCGUAAUGCAUUAGCAUCCGCAAUCGAACUUCGGAUUGACUUGGCGUAAUAGACUAUUCGCUGAGGAAUUCUAGUCUUCGGAUUAGAGCCGGGUUGGGUUAAAGGAAGCUUCUAAUCAGAAUGUCUACAUUUUAAGAUUAGAUCUCAAAUCAGGUAGGACUACCCGCUGAACUUAA
rnacentral:misc_RNA from 1 species